UACGGAGGGUGCAAGCGUUGUUCGGAAUCACUGGGCGUAAAGCGCGUGUAGGCGGUCUGCUAAGUCUGAUGUGAAAGCCCGGGGCUCACCCCCGGAAGUGCAUUGGAAACUGGCAGACUGGAGUCCCGGAGAGGAGGGUGGAAUUCCUGGUGUAGCGGUGAAAUGCGUAGAUAUCAGGAGGAACACCGGUGGCGAAGUCGGCCCUCUGGACGGUGACUGAGGCUGAGACGCGAAAGCGUGGGGAGCAAACAGG
rnacentral:rRNA from 1 species